rnacentral:rRNA from 1 species
CCCCUAGAUGUUCUGGGCCGCACGCGCGCUACACUGAACAGUUCAACAAGUCUUAACCUUGGCCGAUAGGUUUGGGUAAUCUUUGAACGCUGUUCGUGAUUGGGAUAGACCUUUGCAAUUAUGGGUCUUCAACGAGGAAUUCCUAGUAAACGCAAGUCAUCAGCUUGCAUUGAUUACGUCCCUGCCCUUUGUACACACCGCCCGUCGCACCUACCGAUUGAAUGGUCCGGUGAAAUCUCGGGACGGCGGCUCGGUCGCUUGCGUCCGACUGCUGAAACUUGAUUAAACCAUAUCAUUUAGAGGAAGGUGAAGUCGUAACA